CGCAUCUGUGCAUGCAGCAUAUCAAUAAGCGGAGGAAAAGAAACUAACAAGGAUUCCCCUAGUAACGGCGAGUGAAGCGGGAAGAGCUCAAAUUUGAAAUCUUAAAGGGUUUCCCUUUACGAAUUGUAGUUUAAAGAAGUGUUUUCUGUUGAGGUUUUGGUAAAAGUUCUUUGGAAUAGGACAUCAUAGAGGGUGAGAAUCCCGUAUUUGACCUUUACUUUCAACUUUGUGAUACACUUUCAAAGAGUCGGAUUGUUUGGGAAUGCAGUCCAAAAUGGGUGGUAAAUUUCAUCUAAAGCUAAAUAUUGGCGAGAGACCGAUAGCGAACAAGUACCGUGAGGGAAAGAUGAAAAGAACUUUGAAAAGAGAGUUAAACAGUACGUGAAAUUGUCAAAAGGGAAGCGUUUGACACCAGUGUUGUUUUUCUGAAAAUCAAUUAAAGAACUGUUUAUGCUAAGCUGUUUAGACUUUAUCAGCUAUCUGUUUAGUUUUGAGCUUUUCUUUAAUGCACUUUUCAGUUAACAAGUCAACAUCAAUUUCUUUUGCUGUAAAAAAGCUUGAGGAAGGUGGCUUGAGAUUCGUCUUAAGUGUUUAUAGCCUCUUGCCUAGUGCAGUCGGAGAGAUUGAGGUCUGCAGCGUAGAUCCUUCGGGGCUAAAUGCAUUUGUGCUAAGUUAUAGCAUUUUAUAGACAACUUGUUGACUAUGAUUUGUCUUGUAGCUUACUCGCUUAUGUUAUUUUACCUACGCUUAGGAUGUUGAGUCGUAGAGCACGCAG
rnacentral:rRNA from 1 species